rnacentral:rRNA from 1 species
GACGAACGCUGGCGGCGUGCUUAACACAUGCAAGUCGAACGGAAAGGCCCUGCUUUUGUGGGGUUCUCGAGUGGCGAACGUGUGUGUAACACGUGAGUAACCUUCCCUUGACUUUGUUAUAACUUCAGGAAACUUGUUCUAAUACCGGAUAUGAUCUCCUGCUGCAUGGUGGUGGUUGGAUAGUUUCGGCGGUUGGGUAUGGACUCGCGGCUUAUCAGCUUUUUGGUGGGGUAGUGGCUUACCAAGGAUUUGACGGGUAGCCGGCCUGAGAGGGUGACCGGCAAAAUUGGGACUGAGAGACGGACCAGACUACAACGGGAGGCAGCAGGGGGGAAUAUUGCACAAUGGGAGGAAGCAUGAUGAAGAAAAGCCGCGUGCGGGAUGAAGGCCUUCGGGUUGUAAACCGAUUUAGAAUGUGAAGAAGAGUGAGUGACGGUAAUGGGUAAAGAAGCAACGGCUAACUACGUG